rnacentral:rRNA from 1 species
AUUGAACGCUGGCGGCAGGCCUAACACAUGCAAGUCGAGCGGUUGAGGUAGCUUGCUACCGAAGCAGCGGCGAACGGGUGAGUAAUGCAUGGGAAUCUGCCUGGUAGUGGGGGACAACGUUUCGAAAGGAACGCUAAUACCGCAUACGCCCUACGGGGGAAAGGGGGGGAUCUUCGGACCUCUUGCUAUCAGAUGAGCCCAUGUCAGAUUAGCUUGUUGGGGAGGUAAAGGCUCACCAAGGCGACGAUCUGUAACUGGUCUGAGAGGAUGAUCAGUCACACUGGAACUGAGACACGGUCCAGACUCCUACGGGAGGCAGCAGUGGGGAAUAUUGGACAAUGGGGGCAACCCUGAUCCAGCCAUGCCGCGUGUGUGAAGAAGGCCUUCGGGUUGUAAAGCACUUUCAGUGGGGAGAAAGGUCAUUCACCUAAUACGUGAGUGAAUUGAUGUUACCCACAGAAGAAGCACCGGCUAACUCCGUGCCAGCCGCCGCCGUAA